rnacentral:misc_RNA from 1 species
AUUAUUAUUAUUUUUUUUAAAUUUUUUAUGUUUAUUGAUAUUUUUCAUGUCAAUUUCUUGUAAUAAUUUCCUUUUAAAAUAAUUAUAAGCGAAAUAUAUGUGAUUUUUAUCCUUUAAUGGUCAUUUUAACCUUCAAGUGUUUUCUAUCUAAUCUUGUUACCUUUGCAUAUUUGUCUUCAGUUGUAAUUGAUCUUGCCUUCUG